AGAGUUUGAUCAUGGCUCAGGACGAACGCUGGCGGUGUGCUUCACACAUGCAAGUCGAGCGAGAGACUUUCGUGUAGCAAUACAUGGAAGAAUCUAGCGGCGGACGGGUGAGUAACACGUAGGAAUCUGCCUUGAAAUGGGGGAUAGCAGGCCGAAAGGCCUAUUAAUACCGCAUACGCGGGCAUCCCGACAGGGAUGUU
rnacentral:rRNA from 1 species